rnacentral:rRNA from 1 species
AUUGAACGCUGGCGGCAGGCCUAACACAUGCAAGUCGAACGAGUGGCGGACGGGUGAGUAAUGUCUGGGAAACUGCCUGAUGGAGGGGGAUAACUACUGGAAACGGUAGCUAAUACCGCAUACCAUCGGAUGUGCCCAGAUGGGAUUAGCUAGUAGGUGGGGUAAAGGCUAACCUAGGCUACGAUCCCUAGCUGGUCUGAGAGGAGGACCAGCGACACUGGAACUGAGACACUGUCCAGACUCCUACGGGAGGCAGCAGUGUGGAAUAUUGCACAAUGGGCGCAAGCCUGAUGGAGCCAUGCCGCGUGUAUGAAGAAGGCCUUCGGUUUGUAAAGUUCUUUCAGCGGGGAGGCGUUACCCGAAGAAGAAGCACCGGCUAACUCCGUGCCAGCAGCCGCGGUAAUUC